rnacentral:lncRNA from 1 species
AAGGAAAAGUUCUUGAAGUGGGCUAAGUAAGCAUGCUAUGUCAGUGAGUGCAAUGAAUGAUAUGACAAUGCAAAGUUUUCUUGCUGAACUAUAGAAAGGUUUAUGGUCUGGAAAGAAGACCAAACUGCCACAACAUUCCCAUAUGCCAAUGCCUGAUUUGGAACCAUCCUCCCGUUCUUCAAUUCUAGGAAAUCUGCAAGAAAUGAGGAUGUUGCAGACAAAAAGGUUGAAAUUUGAAGAGACUAGUUCUUAAGAUUUGAGUAAAAAAAAAUGUCUUCAUAACAUUAAAUUAAAUGGUGAAGUAGCAAAUGCUGGGGCUGGGGCUAGAGCAAAUUAUGCAGAAGACCUAGCCAAGAUGAUGGAUGAAGGAGGUGACUCUAAGCAACAGAUUUUUCAAUGUACAUUAAACAACCUUCUAUCGGGAGAAGAUGCCAUCUAGGACUUUCCUAUCAUCUUAUGGCUUCAAGUCUUCAAAGGUCAAUCUGACUUUCUUGUUAAGAGCUAAUGUAGCCAAAAACUCUAGGUUGAAACCAAGAGUUCAUUUAACCUUUGGAAAUGCCUUUGAUCCUGAAGAACUUUAUAUGGCUUAAUAAAGCCAGGACAAUAGCAUAUCUAUUUAUACUAUGCUUUCAUGAAUAUUUUAAGGUCUACAGCUAGGACAAACAAAGACAAAUUAAUUGUCUGUUUAUUGUACUGUUGUUUGUCAAAUCAACUGCUCACCUAAAAGCUCCAAGAAAGAUGUACUAUGGAGUUAACAAUGUUCUUGUGCUUGUCAUCACGAGAUUCAUCUACAGCAGCUCUUGGAUCAUAAACUGUAGAGCAUACAUGGUAAGACUAAAAGCUCACUAGAUAGUGAUGCUCUUGUGGAACCAAAAAAAAGUACAUUUCCUGAAAAAGAUCUAUUCAUUUUAGGUACCAUAACAAAAAUUAGUAACCCAAGGAAAGAGGUAAAAAAAAAAAAACAAAAACAAAGUAGGUCAAACAGUCUUCUAUUGGAAGGAAUUUUGGAGAAAGUCAUUCCAACUCUCAUGGAUAACUAAGGGAUUCAGUACUUUGCUGUAUGAAACAACUGCAGCUUCAGAAGAAAAGGAGCUAGAAUUAUUGUUGGGACCUAAAGAUGCGAUUAAAUUGCUACAAAUCCCAUGAAUAAAAAUGAAGAGUUGUUUUUUAUGGAUGAAAAAAUUAAGCAGUUUCUUGAGAGAGUGUACUUCUGGUACACAUAGUGUGAACCCCAGUGGAAAUGACAACAAUGGAUUUAUUAGUAUUUUAUAAACCUAGUGAAAAAGGCAGAGGCAGGGAUUGAAAGGAUUCAAUUUUGAAAGACAUUCCAUGGUUGGUAAAGUGUUGUCAAACUGCAUGACAAAGUAUAGAGAAAUCUUUCAAAGAGGAUGAAUCAAUUGAUGUAGGAAACCUCACUGUGGUCUUAUUUUAAGAAGUUGCUAUAUGCCACUCUGGCUUAUAGUAACUUCUACCACCAGUCAGUAUCCAUUAGCAUCAAAGCAAGAUUCUUCACCAGGAUAAGGCUUAUGACUUAUUGAAGGUCCAGAU